CCUUUGACGUUAGCGGCGGACGGGUGAGUAACACGUGGGUAACCUACCUAUAAGACUGGGAUAACUUCGGGAAACCGGAGCUAAUACCGGAUAAUAUUUCGAACCGCAUGGUUCGAUAGUGAAAGAUGGUUUUGCUAUCACUUAUAGAUGGACCCGCGCCGUAUUAGCUAGUUGGUAAGGUAACGGCUUACCAAGGCGACGAUACGUAGCCGACCUGAGAGGGUGAUCGGCCACACUGGAACUGAGACACGGUCCAGACUCCUACGGGAGGCAGCAGAG
rnacentral:rRNA from 1 species